rnacentral:misc_RNA from 1 species
UGUUGGAUCCUGCAUUUCCUUUUUGAAUUGUCCCAAUUCACAUAAGAUGUCAGGAGAGCCUUGACACAACAGUAAAAGUGGUGGUCCGUCCUUGCUUGGACCUCAUAUAUUAUGGGAGCUUAGAGUACUAGGACUACCCUAUCUUAUUAAUAGGAAUAUGAAUGUCAUUGUAACCUGCAUCUCCUCCUUGGGAAGUCCCAAUUCACAUAAAUAUCAUGUAUCCAACCCCCCAAUCCCGUAGAGAAGAUGUUUCAAUUUGACCAAGAAUCACCUGAUUUUAUGAAAGGAAAAGAAAGCAUUAUGAACUUGAAAAUCCAUUUUAAUCUUUUUCUUUUUCAGAUGUGAAAAGUUGUGGGUAAUACUGUAUUUGCAAUGGAAACUGUAUUUUGUCAGAAUUUAUCUCAGAUUAAAAAGAUUUGUAUUUCCUCAGAGUAUUCGAAAGGUGUUCUGUUGACCUCUAGUUAGGUUUUCUUAGUAUUAGGACUUAGCAUUGAUGAGAAGCGUGUUGUCAUAUGUGUUUUACUCUGUUCAAGGCUUUAAGCAAAUAAAGGCUAACUUUAUCACAUCUUCGCUGAAUGUUAUAUCCUAUUGAAUGGAACUUGAUACUAAUAUUUAUGGCUUCUAUGAGGUUUCACAAUUUCUUGCCCGUCAGAAACAUGCAAAGAAGUAUAUUCUUGUUCAUUGCACACAUGGGCAUAAUCGCACUGGGUUUAUGAUCAUUCAUUAUCUUAUGCGCACGCUGCCAAUAUCUGUCAGUCAGGCAAUUAAAAUUUUUUCUGACGCUCGUCCUCCUGGGAUCUAUAAGCCAGACUAUAUCGAUGCCCUAUAUGCCUUCUAUCAUGAGAAAAAACCUGAAAUGGUUGUUUGUCCACCAACACCUGAGUGGAAAAAAUCUUCUGAGCUUGAUUUGAAUGGUGAUGCAAUGCCAGAUGACGAUGAUGAUGGAGGUCCUGCAGCUCCUUUGACUGACAAUCUUGAAGCACAAGUAGUAACCUCAAAUGAUGACAUUUUGGGAGAUGCAAUCCCACAAGAUCAGCAAAAUCAUUUACGACAGUUCUGUUAUCAAGCACUGAAAAUGACCCCAGGGGGUAGAGGCCCACAAUUUCCUGGCUCACAUCCAGUCUCUCUUGACAGGGAAAACUUGCAGUUAUUAAGGCAGCGUUACUACUAUGCCACUUGGAAGGCUGAUGGGACACGGUAUAUGAUGCUGAUCACGAUGGAUGGUUGUUUCUUAAUUGAUAGGCAUUUCAACUUUCGGAGGGUUCAGAUGAGAUUUCCUUGCAGACACACUAAUGAAGGUUUAGCCGAAAAGACCCACCACUUCACUUUACUUGAUGGAGAGAUGGUAAUUGAUACUUUGCCUGACACACAGAAGCAGGAAAGGAGAUACCUAAUUUAUGAUAUGAUGGCCCUGAACCAUGUGUCUGUCAUCGAGCGACCCUUUUAUGAACGGUGGAGAAUGAUCGACAAAGAAGUGAUUGGUCCAAGGAAUUAUGAACGUCAACAUAUAUACCAGAGUAGAAACCCUUAUUAUAGAUAUGAGUUGGAGCCUUUCAGGGUGAGGAGGAAGGAUUUUUUUCUGCUCUCUACUGUAACAAAACUUCUCAAAGAAUUUAUCCCAAAGCUUUCACAUGAAGCUGAUGGUCUUAUUUUUCAGGGUUGGGAUGAUCCUUAUGUUCCUCGCACUCAUGAGGGUCUCUUGAAGUGGAAAUACCCUGAAAUGAACUCGGUCGACUUUCUCUUUGAGGUGGUUGACGAUCGUGAAUUGCUUUAUCUACAUGAACGAGGGAAGAAGAAACUAAUGGAGGGGAGUAGAGUUGUUUUCCCAGAUGGUUCUGAUCCAUCAGCUUACUCCGGUAAAAUAAUAGAGUGCUCUUUUGACACUGAUAACCAAAAAUGGAUAUGGAUGAGGACCAGAGUCGACAAAGGAACUCCGAAUGACUACAAUACGUACAGAAAGGUGAUGAGAAGUAUUACCGACAACAUCACUGAAGA